rnacentral:rRNA from 1 species
UACAGAGGGGCAAGCGUUGUUCGGAAUUACUGGCGUAAAGGGCUCGUAGGCGGCCAACUAAGUCAUACGUGAAAUCCCUCGGCUUAACCGGGGAACUGCGUCUGAUACUGGAUGGCUUGAGUUCGGGAGAGGGAUGCGGAAUUCCAGGUGUAGCGGUGAAAUGCGUAGAUAUCUGGAGGAACACCGGUGGCGAAGCGGCAUCCUGGA